GACGAACGCUGGCGGCGUGCUUAACACAUGCAAGUCGAACGGAAAGGCCCUGCUUUUGUGGGGUGCUCGAGUGGCGAACGGGUGAGUAACACGUGAGUAACCUGCCCUUGACUUUGGGAUAACUUCAGGAAACUGGGGCUAAUACCGGAUAGGAGCUCCUACUGCAUGGUGGGGGUUGGAAAGUUUCGGCGGUUGGGGAUGGACUCGCGGCUUAUCAGCUUGUUGGUGGGGUAGUGGCUUACCAAGGCUUUGACGGGUAGCCGGCCUGAGAGGGUGACCGGCCACAUUGGGACUGAGAUACGGCCCAGACUCCUACGGGAGGCAGCAGUGGGGAGUAUUGCACAAUGGGCGGAAGCCUGAUGCAGCAACGCCGCGUGCGGGAUGACGGCCUUCGGGUUGUAAACCGCUUUCGCCUGUGACGAAGCGUGAGUGACGGUAAUGGGUAAAGAAGCACCGGCUAACUACGUG
rnacentral:rRNA from 1 species